rnacentral:rRNA from 1 species
CCUACGGGAGGCAGCAGUAGGGAAUUUUCCGCAAUGGGCGAAAGCCUGACGGAGCAAUACCGCGUGAGGGAUGACGGCCUGUGGGUUGUAAACCUCUUUUCUCAAGGAAGAAGUUCUGACGGUACUUGAGGAAUAAGCAUCGGCUAACUCUGUGCCAGCAGCCGCGGUAAUACAGAGGAUGCAAGCGUUAUCCGGAAUCACUGGGCAUAAAGCGUCUGUAGGUUGUUUAGUAAGUCUGCUGUUAAAGACUGGGGCUUAACCCCAGAAAAGCAGUGGAAACUGCUAGACUCGAGUGUGGUAGAGGUAGAGGGAAUUCCUAGUGUAGCGGUGAAAUGCGUAGAUAUUAGGAAGAACACCAAUGGCGAAGGCACUCUACUGGGCCAUAACUGACACUGAGAGACGACAGCUAGGGGAGCAAACGGGAUUAGAUACCCCGGUAGUCCUAGCCGUAAACGAUGGAUACUAGAUGUUGCACGUAUUAACCCGUGCAGUAUCGUAGCUAAGGCGUUAAGUAUCCCGCCUGGGAAAGUACGCUCGCAGAGUAGAAACGUAAAGGUAAGUUAGACGGCGUGAGACGUGCCGACGGACGACGACGAGGGAGGUAGG